ensembl:lncRNA
CGAUGCAGCACUUCGGAAUAUGAAGAGAAUGCUACUAAUUACAUUCUAACGUGUGCAUAUGCGUAUGAAUCUUAAAUGUGUCUCUUUGCAUUUUACAGGAUAAUCCAGCGAACCAUCAGGGCCGCGGUGGAGCAGCACUUCUUGGAGCUGAAAACCUCCAUCGACACCAACUACGACAGCCGGGGGUGAGAGACCAGACGCACGCAGCAACAUGCCCCCAUGCGCACAUGCACAGCACACGCACCGCACACGCACACGACGUAAAUACACUUGUCUCAUGUUUAAGAACAUUUUCACACUGGGCAAAACGGCUUGUGUUGUACUUUUCACCCCACGUGCACCUGCUGGUGGGAACAUGCGUUUCCCAGAUUCCUCAGUGGUGGCGAGCGCCUCCGAUGGCUUUGAAGAACCGUCUCUAGUGAACAUUAUGUACGAAGGGCUCAAGUUACUAGUAAACAUGUUGACAGCUGUGAUGUUAAUUAGCAAACAUGUUUGGGGGGAAGCAGCUGUUCAGUGGUCAGUCACCUCAGACAAGACAACAUGUCACAGCACUUUACUCUGUUCAUCUUAUUUUACUGCCUCUUUUAUUGCUUUGUCCUGCAGGGUGAGUCCCAGUGAGCCUGCAGAACAAGGUCGCCAUGGAGACGAGGCGCAACAAACUGACCCCGAGGACAGCCCCUGCCACACAGAAGGGGAGACCCCGCUCACACCGAGCGAGCAGCUCGUACAACAAAGCCAGACGGACACACGGGAUCCCUUUGCCCCCGGCGACGCCCUGGAGGAGAGCUCUGGAAUGGACCUGGACGCCGAGGCCGCCCCAGAUGCUGAGAACAACAUCAACACCGCCAGGCAGGACAAUCGACCCUGUGACAACAUGGAGCAGACUCAGGCUGACACCAUCAGCUGUGAUCCGAAUUCAUGCCGCUGUGAUCAGAACGCCAACAACAGCAAGACCAACAGGAACCACCUGUCGCCAUGCCAACCAAAAUCCGGCCACAACCCUCAUCUGCAACUCUUCCCUGACAGCCAAUGGGAAGGUGGGAGAUACAGUGAAACAGACUUCAUGUGCUUUGUUUCCUUUAUGAAUCCAUAGAAGAUUCUGUUCAAAAGAUGAUGCUCGUUCCCAGGAGGCGACACUGCAGUUGGUAUUAACGUCGAAGAUUAAAAGUCAUACCCAAAUAUUUGUACUAUUUCACCAAAUUUUGUUUAAGAGUACUUUUCGAGAUGUCGUCUUUUAAAUGUGGAGUUAUUACUCUGGUAAAAGUUCAGGGACUGAAGGAAGGUUGGAGAGUUGUUACGAAUGAUUGACCUCACUGCUCCUCGUCUCUGCUGUCUUCCUUCUUCUUCUCUUCUUCCUCCCUCUUGUCCUCCUUCCAUCCAAACAGCAUCACCCCCCUCCCAUGUCCCUCCCAUAGACUUCUCAUGUAUGCAUCUGCAAAAAGAAGGCCAAGGUGAGUAGUCGAGCGUCUACCCAUCACCAGCCAGCGAGCUUUCCUUCCAUCCUCUCGCCUUGAUUUCUUUUACGAAGGCGCUUCGAUCUGGAUUUCUUACAGGAUCCGUUUCGAGCCUUCUUUUAAUAUUUUAUCAUCAUUUAUUCAUUUAAAUAUUUCAUUAAUUUAAAAUGAACAUGUGACAAAGAAUCCUGAAUUGAAAACUUGUUUAUUUAUUGACGGGCAACAUAUUUGCCCCUUUUCUACAAAGAGCCUUUAAUAUUGCUGUAAAGACGAUCGUCUU